rnacentral:rRNA from 1 species
ACUCAAAUGAAUUGACGGGGAGGCACACAACCAGUGGAACAUGUGGUUCAAUUCGAAACGAACCGAAGAACCUCACCAAGGUUUGACAUCCUAGGGUAAAUUUGAUGAAAGUCAGACCCUCCGCAAGGACCGUAGGACAGGUGCUGCAUGGCUGUCGUCAGCUCGUUCCGUGAGGAGUACCCUUAAGUGGGACAACGAGCGCAACCCCCACCUUGUGUUAUAUAUGUCACAAGGGACUGCCCCAGCUUUGCUGGGGAGGAAGGAGGGGCAGACGUCAAGUCAGCAUGGCCCUUAUACCUUGGGCCACACACAUGUUACAAUGGACAUAACAAUGGGCUUUGCCAGACCGUAAGGUUGAGCCAAUCCCAUAAAUAUGUCCUCAGUGGGGAUUGAGGUCUGAAACUCGACCUCAUGAACUCGGAAUUGGUAGUAAUCGCGGAUCAGUCAUGCCGCGGUGAAUGCGUUCUUGCCUCUUGCACACACCGCCCGU